GAGAGACUCAGCAAAGGGUUAUUAUUCCCAAAUGCCGUGCAGAGGUGGAGAAGGCACUUGGGUGGCACUUAGGAUGUUACUCAUAACCUUUCCAGAACAGCCUUGUUGGUGUCCACUGCCAGGCUGUAGAGGUCCAAACAGGCGGAGCAAAGCUCCACUCCCCACGACGAGAGGGGCUUCAUGCCUGACCAUGACCAGAGGAAGCAGGGGCGGGAAGAACAUUUGGGUCCCAGAGCUGGGCAGUUUUCAGUCUAUGAUGCUGCUUGGAAGUUAGGUUGAGAGGAAGAAUGUGGUGAAGAAUUCUGAUCAGGCCUCUUAUAGUUACCCUGGUGUUGGGAAGGGCCUGUGGCUGCCUCACCAAGCCCGCUGGUGAACCCGUUGAUGCCGAGACCACCUGCCUGAGUCUUGAUCGCAGACUUAAGCUCGUGAUUCUCCCGAAU